UCAAAAAAAAUCCACCCAAGCCCCGGCCUCCUUCCACGUUUAUCCCCUCCACCGCCGGCCUCCUUCCACCUCCUCUCCUCUCCCAAUCCAGAGUGUGUGCAGCCCCGUGCGCUGCAACCGGCUGGCCAAGCCUCCUCGCGACAGCUGCCACCACUACCGCCACCCUCGCCCCUCCCCUCACCAGAAGACAACGAGAAGAGAAUAGGUCAGGCGGUGGCUCCCAGUCCUAGAUCCGCCAUGUCCAUGGCCGAGGGCUUCGACCUGGAGCUCCACAUCCAUGGUCGAGGGCUAGGACCUGGAGCUCCACCUCCGUGGCGUCGGCUGCAUCUCUCCAAUCGUGAGCUCGCGCGCCUGAACAGGACCUCCGUCCGUCAAUCUGCUUCCGCUCCUCUCGGCCGACGACGCCAUGGCUGCCAAGACGCAGGCGCACACACACAGCAGCGUUGCUGACUUGUUGCAUGAGGCAGCCGGCGAGGUGAGGUGAGGCAGGAGAGGACUACCCCAAGCGCCUACAAGCUCCACCGCCUUGUAGAUGUUUUUGUCCGAGUGAUGGGUGAUGUGUGUUUCCUGAGCUGAAGGACAAUGAAAAGAAGAUUAAAGCUAUUAUUAAAGAAGAAGAGGCAAGCUUUGAGAACACUCUAGCGAAGGGAUAUGAGAGAUUUAGGAAAGCUGCAGAUGCUGUCAAGGAGAAUGGCGGGGCAAUACUUAGUGGCCAGGCAAUAUUUGCACUACAUUAUAGUCAAUCAUUUGUUAGCUGCAGGUAAAUAUAUGACCUUUGCAUUGUUGAAUUACAGGACACCUACGAGAAUGUGGUUCAGAAACAUAGUAAGUUAAAGAAGAAGGUCGGUCACUGAAGGAUAAGUAUGAUAAACAGAAGUGUCACAACUCAAGGGCGGAGGCCGACAUUGACCGGGGCCUGCUUGAGCUGAGGGCUAGGGCGAGGGACAUGACGGCGUCACAACUCAAGGCGGCGGCUGCCAUCGAUCAAGUGUGGCUCGUCGGGGCUGCUCGCUGUGUUUCGUCGCAGCUGCAGGCCGCGAGAUCAGGCCGGGAAGGCGCCACACAUCGACGAGUGAGCCAAUUUUGGGUCGGACCAUAACAACGUAUCUCAGUCUCCGACGUUUAGAAGUAGUGGUGAUGUUUUGAAUUUGCAUGGCAAGAAUCACUUACGUAGGUAGCUGUAGGUAGCUGACAAGGUAGCUGACACACACAAUAUUGUGUUUACAAUCUUACUUAUGUAAAAGAUAUGAAUUAUACACGCGUUGCCAUUACAAUGAGUU